AGAAGCAAUCAGUUACAAGGCAAGCAUACAGAUUGAGGCCCUCAAUCCAACUGAGGACAGAGAAAUAUGUGUGCACCAGACAUAUCAAGGCUUCUUACAUGCAUGGCUUUGAGAUAUUUCAACAAUACCAGACGAACAAAAGUGUCACAAGAACCACGACAGUCUCCAAUCUCACAGUUCAUGGAGACCCGUUUUAUGGCAGUACAGCAUGAAUAAUCCACAGCAGAAAGCCAUCAACAAUGCAAUACUGUCCAACCUGGUUAUCGAUUGCAACUUGCCUCUGUCUAUUGUGGAAAACAAGCGCUUUCGUCACUUUAGUACAGCCCAGUGUGUCGUAGAACAUUGACAUCAAACGUAGAGAACCUCGCUACAGAGAGACGUUCAAAACUGAAAACUCAGUUGAGCAACACUGACCAUGUUUCAGUCACAGUGUACAUUUGGUCCGGCCGAAAGAUGAGGGGGUUCCUUGGUGUCACUGUGCACUGUAUGGAGAAAGAUGGAGAGAGGAUACAGCUCAAGUCCAAUCUCAUGGCUUGUGACCACUUCAAAGGCCCACACACGGCCAAAAUAAUCUGUGAGCAAUUUGAGGCCAUAUGUGAUGAGUUCAGCAUUAAAGAUAAAUUGGACUAUAUCAUUAGUGACAAUGCUGCCAACAUGAGAAAAGCAUUCACAGUGUGCUUCCCCAUUGAACAAGAAGAAGUACAUGACGAAGAUUGCCUUGAUGACCCAGAGCUCUGGAAUGACCUAACCCUGGAAGACCAGCAAACAGUGGAUGCUGCUAUUGCAAAAAAACAGCACUUUCAAUGUUUUGCCCACACUCUCCAGCUGGUGGUGGGAGACGGCUUGAAAGAAACAAAAGUGAUGACUCCUUCUCUUUCAAAGUUAGCAAAAAUCAGCUCAUACAAGCACAACAUUCAAAGAGGUGUUUGAGGUUGAAUUUGGGGAAAGAGGCAUCCCUCCUGCUGUCAACAAGAUGGAACUCAACACUAAGACAAGUGAAGGCAGUUAUCCAAUGUGACCAUCUAAAGCUCAGUCAUGUUCUAGUAAAGGCUGGGCACAAGGAGUUGUUGUUCACAGUACGGGAGUGUAAUAAGUUGAAGCAGAUGGUGGACAUCCUGAAGCCAUUUGGAGAAGCAACAGAUAUGACACAGGGGGUGAAGAGGGUCACAAUCAGUUUGGUUGUUUCCUCGGUCCUGUCCCUGAAUCACCACCUGGAGCAGCGGAAGCCUCAAGUCCAUUCCCUGAGCGGCCUGGUCAGAAGUCUCCAGGCAUGCCUGAACAAAAGAUUUAUUGGAAUCUUCAUCAAUGUGAAAAUGGCCAGGACACAAGAUGGAAUCACUGCCCCCUUUUCAGAUCCAGCCUACCUCAAAGCACCUGCCUUGGAUCCGGCUUUUUCUCUGAUGUGGGUGGAGCACCAUGUGCUGGUCAAGGAGGUGGCACAAAGAGUGAAAGAACUGAUUCUGCAAGAUGCUACAGGGACUGAGCAAGCUUGGCCUCUUGUUGAUGAGGAAGAGCGAGAGGACCAAAGUCUUGGACAAGUAGAAGCGCUGUUUGCAGCAUACUGUAAGAGGCAGAAGAAAGCUGUCGGGACCUCUCCAGCACUACAGCUAAGUCACUACCUUGACAUAUGCGAAGGACAGAAUGCCCUCUUGUUCUGAGCAAUGAACAGGAAGGCUCUUCCUUCACUGUCCCGAGUGGCCAUCAGGGUCUUGGCAGUGCCGUCCUCCAGUGCUCCGGUGGAGCGUGUCUUCAGCCAUGGUGGCAUCAUACUGCGGCCUGCACAAAUGACUGACAGACUUUUAUCGAAUUUGGUCUUUUGCAAACGCAAUGCAUCAUAGGGCGCUGAGAUAAGAGAAAAAUUGAAACUGUUUAUGCAUUACACACACACGUAGUCUCCAUGUUCAGGUUUUAUCUCCCAUCUUUGGGAUCUGUAUUUUUUCUCAGACAUUCAGGCCAGUGUUCAAAUUGUAGGCCUACUUGAAGUUCAGUGUCAGUUGUUUUGAUGUACCUUUUAAUAAAUGAUUGGCAGGAUUGUUUUAGGUGUCUAGAGUAUAUCUGGAGAGAGAGAGAGCACUACAAUAUUUUUGUGUUGUCAUAUGUCUUUCUCAUGUCUACCCAUGUAU